GGUGAAAUGGGGCAGGCGGUGAAACUGCCAGUGUACAUCUGAGGGGACUGAUGCCAACCGCAGCUGAGAGGCAGUGUGAGCACCGAGCAUGCUGGGGGGCAGCCUGGGUGUGAGGACCCCAAAUGUCCCCGCACAGAAUCUGGCCAGGAGCAUGGUAAGAGAGAAAAUUCUGGCACUAUAUGAUGUUUUCCGCUGCAAGUGGAUUGUACUGUUGAUCACAGGAUUUGCUGCCCUAGCCGUGGGAGGAUUAUGUAUCCCCAUCACAUUGAUGUGUGGUUUGCUUUUGGUCAAUGACAGGUGAGUAGGAAUGAAAAGUGUUUCUGGUGACCACAAGUGAUGUGUGUUACUUCU
rnacentral:lncRNA from 1 species